UACAUGAGAAGUUCCUAAUACCAUAAGGUGCAUAGCAAAUGCUUAAUAAAUGUUAGCUAUUCUUAUUAUAAUUCCUAGUAUAAAUCUCUUAUGUGUUCAGCAAUUUGCAGGAGCCUAAAGUGGUGGAGCAAAAAUCCCUGUGUGCCAUCUGCCUGCAUCUCAAUAGAGACUCUCAGAUGAAACAUCACAAUGGUUCCUGGUCAUUCAGGAGUGAGUGGGACUUGGGGGCCAGAGUAUAAACUGAGGGAUCUGAACUUGUUGAAACCAGACAAGCAAGGUCUAUCAGUCAAGAGAAGUUUAAUCCAGAAAGGCAUUAUAAGGAUACAUCAAUGACCAGAAAGAGCAUCUUCCCCUAAAAGUUUUGUUUCCAAUGGGAACAAAGCUAAAUAUGUGCAGCAAGAAAAGUGACAGCCUUGGGGUUUCAGUGAAGAGACAGAUUAGACUGGAGCCUCCUGGAAGAGUCAGACAAGACUUCAUAGGAUAAGGGAUUCACCAAAUAACCUUGGAAAAUGGUGAUGAUUUUGAAAAGCAGUGAUUGGGAAGAGGUAAAAGGGGGAGUGGGAGAAGAUGCCUUCUAGCCAGAGGAAAGAUCAAAGGCAAAGCAAUGGAGAAGCCCUGAAUGUAUUUGGGAAAGAAGAGGCACAACCAAUGAUUCUCAACUGGAUCCUGAUGUGAUUCAUUUUCCACCAUGUACCCCCACCACUAUGCUCCAACCACCCCUACUCCUUUUUCUAGCCCAGUGGUUCACAAACUUGAGUGAGAAUCUAAACUGUCUGGAGGGCUUGUAAACCACAGAUUGCAGGACCCCAUUCCAGCUACUGAA
rnacentral:lncRNA from 12 species